rnacentral:rRNA from 1 species
UACGAAGGGGGCUAGCGUUGCUCGGAAUCACUGGGCGUAAAGGGUGCGUAGGCGGGUUUUUAAGUCAGAGGUGAAAUCCUGGAGCUCAACUCCAGAACUGCCUUUGAUACUGAAAGUCUUGAGUAUGGGAGAGGUGAGUGGAACUGCGAGUGUAGAGGUGAAAUUCGUAGAUAUUCGCAAGAACACCAGUGGCGAAGGCGGCUCACUGGCCCAUAACUGACGCUGAGGCACGAAGGCGUGGGGAGCAAACAGG